AUUGAACGCUGGCGGCAUGCUUUACACAUUCAAGUCGAACGGUAACAGGGUGCUUGCACCGCUGACGAGUGGCGAACGGGUGAGUAAUGCGUCGGAACGUGCCGAGUAGUGGGGGAUAACGCAGCGAAAGUUGUGCUAAUACCGCAUACGUACUGAGGUAGAAAGUGGGGGACCUUCGGGCCUCACGCUAUUCGAGCGGCCGACGUCUGAUUAGCUAGUAGGUGAGGUAAAGGCUCACUUAGGCGACGAUCAGUAGCGGUUCUGAGAGGAUGAACCGCGCCAUGGGGACUGGGAAACGGCCCAGACUCCUACGGGAGGCAGCAGUGGGGAAUUUUGGACAAUGGGCGAAUGCCUGAUCCAGCCAUGCCGCGUGUCUGAAGAAGGCCUUCGGGUUGUAAAGGACUUUUGUCAGGGAGGAAAUCCCUAGUGCUAAUAACACUGGGGGAUGACAGUACCUGAAGAAUAAGCACCGGCUAACUACGUGCCAGCAGCCGCCGUAA
rnacentral:rRNA from 1 species